rnacentral:rRNA from 1 species
AUGAUAACAAUGGCGAUUAGGGCAUGCAGGGGACAGCGACGUGCAGCUUAUCGGGUCGGGAUCAGCGCAGUGCGGGCGUCCCAGCUCAUGGUCAGGAUCCCGGAACGUGCCGCGACAGCCCCGAGAGGGUUCGGCGAGCGCGCACCAGUUGCAAAAAAGAAUGGUGCGAUUCAGUCGAGGUCGCCGUGCGAAGGAGAAAUCGGAGAGAGCAACCAUGGCGCUCUUGUCCUCGAGUUCCUUUGGUUCAGAGAACCUCGGUUUUGCUGCGAUGCUGUUGCUGAUGAAAUUUCAGCAACAUGGAAUUUUCACCUGGUCAGAAAAGGGCAGUUCAGCAGGUACAAGGUUGACGCUGAACAUUCAUAUGCAAGCAAGAACCGAGUAGCAAAAACUGUAGCACCUUUAUUCAUCUCAAGUUCUCAACACAGCAGCAACUGA